rnacentral:rRNA from 1 species
UGGGGAAUUUUGGACAAUGGGCGAAAGCCUGAUCCAGCCAUGCCGCGUGCGGGAAGAAGGCCUUCGGGUUGUAAACCGCUUUUGUCAGGGAAGAAACGAGUUUCUCUAAUACAGAGACUUAAUGACGGUACCUGAAGAAUAAGCACCGGCUAACUACGUGCCAGCAGCCGCGGUAAUACGUAGGGUGCAAGCGUUAAUCGGAAUUACUGGGCGUAAAGCGUGCGCAGGCGGUUAUGCAAGACAGAUGUGAAAUCCCCGGGCUCAACCUGGGACCUGCAUUUGUGACUGUAUAGCUAGAGUACGGUAGAAGGGGAUGGAAUUCAGCGUGUAGCAGUGAAAUGCGUAGAUAUGCGGAGGAACACCGAUGGCGAAGGCAAUCCCCUGGACCUGUACUGACGCUCAUGCACGAAAGCGUGGGGAGCAAACA